rnacentral:lncRNA from 1 species
CAAAAAACCCUGAUUAAACCAUCAGAUACCUCUACCACGAGAACAGCAUGGUAUUAGACUGACUUCCAUUCAUCAGACAAAGAACGGAAAGGGUGAAUGUUUACUCCUCACCUCCUCUGUGUCCUUGACUUUGCUGAGUGCCCUAAGUACAUUAUCUCACUCUGCCCUCACAUGAGCUCUGUGAAAUGGGUGCCCAUUUCACAGGUGGGCAUGCUGGAAUCUCGGAAGAGGGUAGGAAACUUGCCCAGGCCAGAGUUUGUAAGCAGUAGGGCCAGAAGGCUCAACCUCAGGCAUUCUGAUGCUAGGGUGCCCACUAUAGCUAUCCUAAGACCCAGGUGCCCUUUUUGCUGCUGAAAGCACCCCAGGUCCUCAGUCCUACCUAGUGAUUCUGCUGUACUGAGCCCUCGGAGGUGACCCUGGUGUCUUCCACAGAGGGUCCCAUUUUGUGUAGCAGGAGAUCAAGUCAAUUUCCUGGGCUGCUAGGGCACCUGGUGGCAAUGUAGUGACCCACUCUAAACCCCCCUGGGUGGGUGAGGGCUGGGAUGUGGAGCCCAUGAGUGGACAUACUCCUGUUUUUGGGGGUGCUCGGCUGACACACCCCCAGAAAGCCUUGGAAAAUGAAUGUACUCGAAACAUGGUGGUUAAACUCAAUCUGUAGUAGUGGCGGUGGGGGAAUGGGGGUGCCAGAACGGCACAAGAGAAUUUUUACAUAACGACAACCAUAUGUCCUAAAAGAAUGGGAAUGGUUUUCCCCUUUUGCACAAGGACCCUGGAAACUGCUUCAGGAAAUUAGCGUCAACCCCCUGAUUAAGUUAAACGAAACGUGUCAGAAAGGCAGAUGAAGUGAAAAUGUGCCUUCCAGCAUCAUGCGGCUUCUGACAUUCCUGGCCAUUAACCAUAUUAAAUUGACAAAGAUACUGUAUGGAGACAAAGGAAAUUUCAGAGUAUCUUGGAUGAAACGAAAUCCUUCAAAGAUCAAAUUGUUUGCUUUUCAUAUAGCUCUCUAGGUAGACUUGAAAUUUAAUCUUGUACUGAUGGCAUUAUUAGGAAGAAAAAUUCACAUGGAAAAGAAUAUGCAUUGUUUACUGGCAUUUGGUCUUAAUUUUAAAGACUGUGGUUAAUACUAGGAACACACUGGUCUCCCCACUUACGGUAGCAUUAUACAU